GAUGAACGCUGGCGGCGUGCCUAAUACAUGCAAGUCGAGCGAACGGACGAGAAGCUUGCUUCUCUGAUGUUAGCCGCGGACGGGUGAGUAACACGUGGAUAACCUACCUAUAAGACUGGGAUAACUUCGGGAAACCGGAGCUAAUACCGGAUAAUAUUUUGAACCGCAUGGUUCAAAAGUGAAAGACGGUCUUGCUGUCACUUAUAGAUGGAUCCGCGCUGCAUUAGCUAGUUGGUAAGGUAACGGCUUACCAAGGCAACGAUGCAUAGCCGACCUGAGAGGGUGAUCGGCCACACUGGAACUGAGACACGGUCCAGACUCCUACGGGAGGCAGCAGAAGGGAAUCUUCCGCAAUGGGCGAAAGCCUGACGGAGCAACGCCGCGUGAGUGAUGAAGGUCUUCGGAUCGUAAAACUCUGUUAUUAGGGAAGAACAUAUGUGUAAGUAACUGUGCACAUCUUGACGGUACCUAAUCAGAAAGCCACGGCUAACUACGUGCCAGCAGCCGCGGUAAUACGUAGGUGGCAAGCGUUAUCCGGAAUUAUUGGGCGUAAAGCGCGCGUAGGCGGUUUUUUAAGUCUGAUGUGAAAGCCCACGGCUCAACCGUGGAGGGUCAUUGGAAACUGGAAAACUUGAGUGCAGAAGAGGAAAGUGGAAUUCCAUGUGUAGCGGUGAAAUGCGCAGAGAUAUGGAGGAACACCAGUGGCGAAGGCGACUUUCUGGUCUGUAACUGACGCUGAUGUGCGAAAGCGUGGGGAUCAAACAGGAUUAGAUACCCUGGUAGUCCACGCCGUAAACGAAGAGUGCUAAGUGUUAGGGGGUUUCCGCCCCUUAGUGCUGCAGCUAACGCAUUAAGCACUCCGCCUGGGGAGUACGACCGCAAGGUUGAAACUCAAAGGAAUUGACGGGGACCCGCACAAGCGGUGGAGCAUGUGGUUUAAUUCGAAGCAACGCGAAGAACCUUACCAAAUCUUGACAUCC
rnacentral:rRNA from 1 species